GUGAACACUGCAAAUUCCUUCCCAAACUCCUUUGUCAUUCUAAUUUGCAUUCCAAAAGCUCCAGCAGCUGAUUGGUUAGGCUUGAAUCCAAGAAGCUGAUGGAUCAGACAGAGGAUGCACUAUAUUAACACCACAUAGGGGAGACUGAACUCACCAUUGGAAGGUAGACACUGGGAUGCUCUGGAUGAAUACUGAACACACCUUCGUAAGGAAUGUUAGACUGGAUUUCCUUUGCAAAACAGAACUGAACUCACUGCCACUGGGAUUCUCUGAAGGAUUAUGUUAGUCAUUCUUUGGAAGCAUACUAUAGAAGUAAUUGAAGUCUGAAAUGUCAGGAUCUACUGAAAUACCACAACUGCUCAUGUC